rnacentral:rRNA from 1 species
GACGAACGCUGGCGGCGUGCUUAACACAUGCAAGUCGAACGGAAAGGCCCUGCUUUUGUGGGGUGCUCGAGAGGCGAACGGGUGAGUAACACGUGAGUAACCUGCCCUUGACUUUGGGAUAACUUCAGGAAACUGGGGCUAAUACCGGAUAGGAGCUCCUGCUGCAUGGUGGGGGUUGGAAAGUUUCGGCGGUUGGGGAUGGACUCGCGGCUUAUCAGCUUGUUGGUGGGGUAGUGGCUUACCAAGGCUUUGACGGGUAGCCGGCCUGAGAGGGUGACCGGCCACAUUGGGACUGAGAUACGGCCCAGACUCCUACGGGAGGCAGCAGUGGGGAAUAUUGCACCAUGGGCGGAAGCCUGAUGCAGCAACGCCGCGUGCGGGAUGACGGCCUUCGGGUUGUAAACCGCUUUCGCCUGUGACGAAGCGUGAGUGACGGUAAUGGGUAAAGAAGCACCGGCUAACUACGUG